GCAGAUACGGACAAGUCAAAGUCAGCGGUUCUUGGAAGAGCGUUUUUUUGUGACUUCUCAAAAAGCGAGGAACCCGAACGAAGUUAGAAUGGGUUAGUUAAUUAUAAAUUCUUGCGAAGUUUAUACCUUAUUAGAUACUGGUUCUACCCAUUCUUUUAUCUCUCUUGCUUGCGUUCAACGUUUGAACUUGACUACGGAGAAAUUAGACUUUGACCUAUCUGUGGAGACUCCGUUAGGAGAAAC
rnacentral:lncRNA from 1 species